GGGCGCGUAGCUCAGUCGGUAGAGCGCUUAGCUUAUACCUAAGUGGUCCCAGGUUCGAGUCCUGGCGCGCCCA
rnacentral:tRNA from 1 species